CCUGGGCCCUGGCUGGCCUGGGGUGGGGGUGGGGAAUGGAGAGGAGUGGAAUGCAGGGUUACCCUUUCAUCUCUAGUGUCACGUCACUGGGCCUUUCUCUCUCAGUGCCAUCACUUUUCUCUGCUCGGCCCGAAAGCAGACCAUCCUGAAAGUUCUGUUGGUAUCUUUAAACUCAGGAGGCUUUCCCAAUAAUGCAUUUCCUUCUUGUCUAGAUGGUAACUGAGAUGGAUCUGUGCCCCAGGCUUCACGCAGGGAAGUUGAAUUAUGGGAGUUGAAUUAACGUUGGACUCCUCAGAACAACCAUGGGAGAGCAAAGAUGGCUUCUCUGGGGGUCCUGGGCUGAGGGGCCUAGGAAGCUCCUUUGGUGCCUGCCCAGUGAGUGGCCCCAGUCCACCCUUAGGACCAUUCUACUGUACGUAUGGAGCACCUGCUGUGUGCCAGGCCCAGGUGGGCUCAGAACCCACCGCUCUGCUCCGGCCUCCUUGCGCGUCCCAACUGCCCGUCCCAGGAGGGCAGGGCAGACUCGGAUUCCUCCCUCCGCAGGCCCAGGGCGUCAAUCCCAGCACCCGGCACCCGGUGGGCACUCGGCCCCAGCGCGCACCACUCGGGGGCUCUCGAGGCGGCCUCUCUUGCGAUCGAGGGCGCGCGGGGCUGAAGAACAAUCUCCGGCCUCGGCUCUCAGCGCCGGAGGUUGGAAGAGGGCGGGUCGCCGGCGCCCGAAGGCGAGGACGCAGAGCCGCGGGAGGAAGGAGCGCUCGCCCGCCCGCCGCCUCGCUGCCUCCCCGCGCUCGUUCUCCGGACUCCUGGAGCUGCCGGCUGCUCCUCCCACCCGCGCCCGCCUCCUCGCUCGCUCGCUC
rnacentral:lncRNA from 1 species